GAAUGGCUCAUUAAAUCAGCUAUGGUUUAUUGGAUCGUACCCGUUAAAUGGAUAACUGUAAUAACUCUAGAGCUAAUACAUGCCCCGAUGCCCUGACCGCACUUGUACUGCGAAAAGCGUAUAGGUGGGGAAUGGGUGCACUUAUUAGAUCAGAAGCCAACCAAUUGUACACGUAUGGCUGCAAAGCUAUCGCGUACGUUGAAGCACUUCUGGUGACUCUGGAUAAUUGUUACAGAUCGCAGCAGGCCUUGAGUCGGCGACGGGUCCUUCAAAUGUCUGCCCUAUCAACUUUCGAUGGUAGGUGACCUGCCUACCAUGGUGAUAACGGGUAACGGGGAAUCAGGGUUCGAUUCCGGAGAGGGAGCCUGAGAAACGGCUACCACUUCCAAGGGAGGCAGCAGGCGCGCAAAUUACCCACUCCCAGCACGGGGAGGUGGUGACGAAAAAUACCGAUGCGGGACUCCUUAAAGAGGCUCCGUAAUCGGAAUGAGUGGACUCUAAAUCCUUUCACGAGGAUCAAUUGGAGGGCAAGUCUGGUGCCAGCAGCCGCGGUAACUCCAGCUCCAAUAGCGUAUAUUAAAGUUGCUGCAGUUAAAAAGCUCGUAGCUGGAUCUCGGUGGCAUUGUUGCCUGUUAGCAUUUGAGCGGCUGGUGUGUGACUAUUAACACUCAUGCCUGGUCAUUGUGUUUGGGCUACUGACUGGUUGAUUGUGCUAUUGUGCAUGUGUGUGUAUGUCUAUAUGGAUGCCUUCUGACGUUCAUUAGACGUAUUAUGCACAUAUGUGCAUGCAUGUAGACUAGUGAAUUGGCCUAGCAGUGGUUGGGUAUGUGUAGUUGUAGUCGUUAAAUAGCACUGCCGUGUCAAGCCGACAAGGUGAUGGUGUCGCCUUUAAGCCAUGUCUGUGGUGUAGCAGCCACAGGUGUGGACGGGUAUUGGGUGGUGCUUUGCAUACACUGUGAAGUCCAUCGGCCCGUUUGCAUGCCCUUGGAUGCCCUUCAAAAGGUGUCUGUGGGCGGGUGGCACGUUUACUUUGAACAAAUUUGAGUGCUCAAAUCA
rnacentral:rRNA from 1 species